AGAAGAGCUUCAGUCAAGAACUAAGUCAAAAACUGAUUUGAUGAGCAUUUCCAGCGAACCAGACGAAGAUUCAACAGCAUGCUCCUUUUGUGACCAAUGAUAGAUCAUUUUUCUGGCACAUAUUUCAGUGAAAAAAAGAACACCAGUCUCAUAAAGAAAAAACAGGAAUUUUACGGAGAAUACGGAUGUUUUUCCGCAGACGUAAAGCAAGAAAUUAAAAGGAAUAAUUUAAAGAUAUAAUGGGAAUAUAUUAUUUGAUAAAUGAUAAAUCG